GUUCUGCAGUGGGUACGGGCCAGACUAGAGUGAUGUAGGGGAGACUGGAAUCCGUGGUGUAGCGGUGAAAUGCGCAGAUAUCAGGAGGAACACCGAUGGCGAAGACAGGUCUCUGGGCAUUAACUGACGCUGAGAGCGAAAGCAUGGGGAGCGAACAGGAUUAGAUACCCUGGUAGUCCAUGCCGUAAACGUUGGGCACUAGGUGUGGGGGACAUUCCACGUUUUCCGCGCCGUAGCUAACGCAUUAAGUGCCCCGCCUGGGGAGUACGGCCGCAAGGCUAAAACUCAAAGGAAUUGACGGGGGCCCGCACAAGCGGCGGAGCAUGCGGAUUAAUUCGAUGCAACGCGAAGAACCUUACCAAGGCUUGACAUGAACCGGUAAUACCUGGAAACAGGUGCCCCGCUUGCGGUCGGUUUACAGGUGGUGCAUGGUUGUCGUCAGCUCGUGUCGUGAGAUGUUGGGUUAAGUCCCGCAACGAGCGCAACCCUCGUUCUAUGUUGCCAGCGCGUUAUGGCGGGGACUCAUAGGAGACUGCCGGGGUCAACUCGGAGGAAGGUGGGGACGACGUCAAAUCAUCAUGCCCCUUAUGUCUUGGGCUUCACGCAUGCUACAAUGGCCGGUACAAAGGGUUGCGAUACUGUGAGGUGGAGCUAAUCCCAAAAAGCCGGUCUCAGUUCGGAUUGGGGUCUGCAACUCGACCCCAUGAAGUCGGAGUCGCUAGUAAUCGCAGAUCAGCAACGCUGCGGUGAAUACGUUCCCGGGCCUUGUACACACCGCCCGUCAAGUCACGAAAGUUGGUAACACCCGAAGCCGGUGCCCUACCCCUUGUGGGGGGAGCCGUCGA
rnacentral:rRNA from 1 species